GGUCCGUUGGAGAAGAGGUUUAACUCACAUGCCUUUCACGCAUGCACUCACGGGUUCGAAUCCCGUACGGGCUACCA
rnacentral:tRNA from 1 species